rnacentral:rRNA from 1 species
CUACGGGGCGCUGCAGCGGGGAAUAUUGGACAAUGGGGGAAACCCUGAUCCAGCAAUGCCGCGUGUGUGAAGAAGGCCUGCGGGUUGUAAAGCACUUUCGGUUGGGAGGACUGCUUCUAGCACUAAUAUUGUUGGAAGUUGACGUUACCUUCAGAAGAAGCACCGGCUAACUCCGUGCCAGCAGCCGCGGUAAUACGGGAGGGUGCAAGCGUUAAUCGGAAUUACUGGGCGUAAAGCGCGCGUAGGCGGCUAGAUCAGUCGGGUGUGAAAGCCCCGGGCUUAACCUGGGAACUGCAUCCGAUACUGUCUAGCUUGAGUACAGGAGAGGAGAGUGGAAUUCCACAUGUAGCGGUGAAAUGCGUAGAUAUGUGGAGGAACACCAAUGGCGAAGGCAGCUCUCUGGCCUGAUACUGACGCUGAGGUGCGAAAGCGUGGGGAGCAAACAGGAUUAGAUACCCCCGUAGUC